rnacentral:rRNA from 1 species
GACGAACGCUGGCGGCGUGCUUAACACAUGCAAGUCGAACGGUAAGGCCCUUCGGGGUACACGAGUGGCGAACGGGUGAGUAACACGUGGGUGAUCUGCCCUGCACUUCGGGAUGAGCCUGGGAAACUGGGUCUAAUACCGGAUAGGACCACUGCCUGCAUGGGUGGUGGUGGAAAGCUUUUGCGGUGUGGGAUGGGCGCCGCGGCCUAUCAGCUUGUUGGUGGGGUGAUGGCCUAGCAAGGCGACGACGGGUAGCCGGCCUGAGAGGGGAACCGGCCACAUUGGGACUGGGGUACGGCCCAGACUCCUACGGGAGGCAGCAGUGGGGAAUAUUGCACAAUGGGCGCAAGCCUGAUGCAGCGACGCCGCGUGAGGGAUGACGGCCUUCGGGUUGUAAACCUCUUUCAGCACCGACGAAGCGCAAGUGACGGUAGGUGCAGAAGAAGGACCGGCCAACUACGUGCCAGCAGCCGCCGUAA